AUUGAACGCUGGCGGCAGGCCUAACACAUGCAAGUCGAGCGGGUGACGGGAGCUUGCUCCUUGAUUCAGCGGCGGACGGGUGAGUAAUGCCUAGGAAUCUGCCUGGUAGUGGGGGACAACGUUUCGAAAGGAACGCUAAUACCGCAUACGUCCUACGGGAGAAAGCAGGGGACCUUCGGGCCUUGCGCUAUCACAUGAGCCUAGGGCGGAUUACCUAGUUGGUGGGGUAAUGGCUCACCAAGGCGACGAUCCGUAACUGGUCUGAGAGGAUGAUCAGUCACACUGGAACUGAGACACGGUCCAGACUCCUACGGGAGGCAGCAGUGGGGAAUAUUGGACAAUGGGCGAAAGCCUGAUCCAGCCAUGCCGCGUGUGUGAAGAAGGUCUUCGGAUUGUAAAGCACUUUAAGUUGGGAGGAAGGGCAGUAAGUUAAUACCUUGCUGUUUUGACGUUACCGACAGAAUAAGCACCGGCUAACUCUGUGCCAGCAGCCGCCGCAGUAA
rnacentral:rRNA from 1 species